GAGUUUGAUCAUGGCUCAGGACGAACGCUGGCGGCGUGCCUAAUACAUGCAAGUAGAACGCUGAAGAGAGGAGCUUGCUCUUCUUGGAUGAGUUGCGAACGGGUGAGUAACGCGUAGGUAACCUGCCUUGUAGCGGGGGAUAACUAUUGGAAACGAUAGCUAAUACCGCAUAACAAUGGAUGACACAUGUCAUUUAUUUGAAAGGGGCAAUUGCUCCACUACAAGAUGGACCUGCGUUGUAUUAGCUAGUAGGUGAGGUAACGGCUCACCUAGGCGACGAUACAUAGCCGACCUGAGAGGGUGAUCGGCCACACUGGGACUGAGACACGGCCCAGACUCCUACGGGAGGCAGCAGUAGGGAAUCUUCAGCAAUGGGGGCAACCCUGACCGAGCAACGCCGCGUGAGUGAAGAAGGUUUUCGGAUCGUAAAGCUCUGUUGUAAGUCAAGAACGAGUGUGAGAGUGGAAAGUUCACACUGUGACGGUAGCUUACCAGAAAGGGACGGCUAACUACGUGCCAGCAGCCGCGGUAAUACGUAGGUCCCGAGCGUUGUCCGGAUUUAUUGGGCGUAAAGCGAGCGCAGGCGGUUUGAUAAGUCUGAAGUUAAAGGCUGUGGCUCAACCAUAGUUCGCUUUGGAAACUGUCAAACUUGAGUGCAGAAGGGGAGAGUGGAAUUCCAUGUGUAGCGGUGAAAUGCGUAGAUAUAUGGAGGAACACCGGUGGCGAAAGCGGCUCUCUGGUCUGUAACUGACGCUGAGGCUCGAAAGCGUGGGGAGCGAACAGGAUUAGAUACCCUGGUAGUCCACGCCGUAAACGAUGAGUGCUAGGUGUUGGAUCCUUUCCGGGAUUCAGUGCCGCAGCUAACGCAUUAAGCACUCCGCCUGGGGAGUACGACCGCAAGGUUGAAACUCAAAGGAAUUGACGGGGGCCCGCACAAGCGGUGGAGCAUGUGGUUUAAUUCGAAGCAACGCGAAGAACCUUACCAGGUCUUGACAUCCCGAUGCUAUUUCUAGAGAUAGAAAGUUACUUCGGUACAUCGGUGACAGGUGGUGCAUGGUUGUCGUCAGCUCGUGUCGUGAGAUGUUGGGUUAAGUCCCGCAACGAGCGCAACCCCUAUUGUUAGUUGCCAUCAUUCAGUUGGGCACUCUAGCGAGACUGCCGGUAAUAAACCGGAGGAAGGUGGGGAUGACGUCAAAUCAUCAUGCCCCUUAUGACCUGGGCUACACACGUGCUACAAUGGUUGGUACAACGAGUUGCGAGUCGGUGACGGCAAGCUAAUCUCUUAAAGCCGAUCUCAGUUCGGAUUGUAGGCUGCAACUCGCCUACAUGAAAGUCGGAAAUCGCUAGUAAUCGCGGAAUCAGCGCGCCGCGGUGAAUACGUUUCCCGGGCCUUGCGCUCACCGCCCGUCAA
rnacentral:rRNA from 1 species